GACGAACGCUGGCGGCGUGCCUAAUACAUGCAAGUCGAACGCUUCUUUUUCCACCGGAGCUUGCUCCACCGGAAAAAGAAGAGUGGCGAACGGGUGAGUAACACGUGGGUAACCUGCCCAUCAGAAGGGGAUAACACUUGGAAACAGGUGCUAAUACCGUAUAACAAUCAAAACCGCAUGGUUUUGAUUUGAAAGGCGCUUUCGGGUGUCGCUGAUGGAUGGACCCGCGGUGCAUUAGCUAGUUGGUGAGGCAACGGCUCACCAAGGCCACGAUGCAUAGCCGACCUGAGAGGGUGAUCGGCCACAUUGGGACUGAGACACGGCCCAAACUCCUACGGGAGGCAGCAGUAGGGAAUCUUCGGCAAUGGACGAAAGUCUGACCGAGCAACGCCGCGUGAGUGAAGAAGGUUUUCGGAUCGUAAAACUCUGUUGUUAGAGAAGAACAAGGAUGAGAGUAACUGUUCAUCCCUUGACGGUAUCUAACCAGAAAGCCACGGCUAACUACGUGCCAGCAGCCGCGGUAAUACGUAGGUGGCAAGCGUUGUCCGGAUUUAUUGGGCGUAAAGCGAGCGCAGGCGGUUUCUUAAGUCUGAUGUGAAAGCCCCCGGCUCAACCGGGGAGGGUCAUUGGAAACUGGGAGACUUGAGUGCAGAAGAGGAGAGUGGAAUUCCAUGUGUAGCGGUGAAAUGCGUAGAUAUAUGGAGGAACACCAGUGGCGAAGGCGGCUCUCUGG
rnacentral:rRNA from 1 species